rnacentral:rRNA from 1 species
GAUGAACGCUGGCGGCGUGCCUAAUACAUGCAAGUCGAGCGAACAGACGAGGAUCUUGCUCCUCUGACGUUAGCGGCGGACGGGUGAGUCACACGUGUAUAACCUACCUAUAAGACGGAGAUAACUUCGGGAAACCGGAUCUAAUACCAUAGAAUCUAUUGAACCGCAUUGUUCGAUAGUGAAAUACGGUUUUGCUGGCACGUAUAGAUGGAUCCGCGCCGCAUUAGCUAGUUGGUAAGGUAACGGCUUACCAAGGCGACGAUGCGUAGCCGACCUGAGAGAGUGAUCGGCCACACUGGAACUGAGACAGGGUCCAGACUCCUACGGGAGGCAGCAGUCGGGAACCUUACGCAAUGGGCGGAAGCAUGACAGAGCAACGCCGCGCGAGUGAUGACGGCCUCCGGAUCGUAAAACCGUGUUACUAGGGAAGAACAACUGUGUCCGUAAAUGUGCCCUUAUUGACGGUAACUAAUAAGAAAGCAACGGCUAACUACGUG